UUGGUGGUUUAUAUAUUCAUCUUGAAGAACUGGGAUUUGUGUAUGUGAUUGCAGUUGAUGUUCAUAGUAAUUACACAUGUAAAUCUCAGUUGUUCCAAGGUGGCAAUAUGACCUUUUCAG
rnacentral:precursor_RNA from 13 species